AUGCUCACUUCAGCAGCACAUAUACUAAAAUUGAAAUGAUACAGAGAACAUUAGCAUGGCCUCUGCAUGAGGAUAACAUGCAAAUUCAUGAGGCAUUCCAUAUUUCC
ensembl:snRNA U6 U6 spliceosomal RNA